AAGAGGUCUACACUGAGGACUAAGUGGAUGGGCUCUCACCUAGGGUGUGCUUCUAAAGUGUAGGAAACCUAAACCGAGGACUAGGUUGAUAGACUCUCACCUAGGGUGUGCACUUAAAGUUCUAGGAAACUUACACUUUAACUUAUGCUUAAGGUGAUUUAAGGUUUUCUAUAUCUUCCAAUUAAUUAAAUCAUCAAUACCCAUCUUUAUGACUUAACCAUUUAAAAAGAAGUAAAACAAAAGAAGGAUGAGGCAGACCCACUUCUAAAACUAGUAAAUUCAAAGGGGGAAAACAACAAGUGGAUCAACCUAAAAGCGUUUAAAUAACAAUCAAUUGAAACCCAAAACAUUGGGCAAAAAGGGGUCCGUAAAACAA